GGAUUCUGUGAAAGACCAAAAGCAAAUGACCUGUUUCCUACCAGUGACCCCGCCACCCCCAGGGGAUGCAUACCUAGCAGGACUGAUCAGGCACAGCUCAGGAUUCCCUCUGAGAAACUUCAUGGCAGACAAUCACCACCAAAAGGAGCCUGAAAGAACACUGUGAAUCUGACUGGACGUAAGCAGCCCGAAGAAGCAUUUCAGGAGUCCUGAUGUGGGGACGCAGCAAAGAUUUAACAUCUUAUCAAUAGCUGCUAACUGUA